GUCCCACUCUUAGCGACCCCAUGGAUUGCAGCCCACCGGGCUCCUCCGCCCAUGGGACUUUCCAGGAUGGGCAUGCCUGAGCAUUGUCGCUACACCACUCUUGGCAUCUGGAGCCAACCUUGAAAUGGGUGGCAUUGACCUUGGAGGGCCGUCCACUGCUCCUCAUCACCUCCCAUGAAACAUAGCUGACUACAGCCACUUCACCCAGUUUCCAGCGAUGCCCACCACUUCCAAGGUUGAUCCUGGGGGCACAACAGAUUCACUACGUGGAUCCUCUGUGAACCAAGAAUAAGGUGGCUGCUUGGCAUGGUGGGCAAGUCUGUGGGUGUCAGCAGGUGGUACUUACUUUCAACUAAUCACCAUGGGAACCAGGGACUGUACAAAGCAUUAGAAUUGGGUAACAGUUAAGUACUCAGAAAUUUCUCAGGAGGAAGUUGAUCUUUCUGUACCCUUGUUUGUAGUGGAUGACUAAGAAACAGGAAAUGUUGUAGAAGGAGAAAAUGGCAAGAAAAGAAAAGUUCAGAGAAGAGUAACUUCUUUUAUCUUUAAAAAAAUUCAUAAAAACAGCAGUUUACCCUUUGGAAUGGAAACUUUUUGUUAAUUGUUCUAGACUCAUUAAAAUUCAUGAUUUUAAGUAUG